rnacentral:rRNA from 1 species
UUGGGGGCCCUUUAAAUGCAGUCGAGCGGCGCGGAAGUAGCUUGCUACUUUGCCGGCGAGCGGCGGACGGGUGAGUAAUGUCUGGGAAACUGCCUGAUGGAGGGGGAUAACUACUGGAAACGGUAGCUAAUACCGCAUAACGUCGCAAGACCAAAGAGGGGGACCUUCGGGCCUCUUGCCAUCAGAUGUGCCCAGAUGGGAUUAGCUAGUAGGUGGGGUAACGGCUCACCUAGGCGACGAUCCCUAGCUGGUCUGAGAGGAUGACCAGCCACACUGGAACUGAGACACGGUCCAGACUCCUACGGGAGGCAGCAGUGGGGCAAUAUUGCACAAUGGGCGCAAGCCUGAUGCAGCCAUGCCGCGUGUAUGAAGAAGGCCUUCGGGUUGUAAAGUACUUUCAGCGGGGAGGAAGGUGUUGAGGAGAUAACCUCGCGAUUGACGUUCCCGCAGAGAGGCACCGGCUAACUCCGUGCCACGGCCGCGACAUACCGAGGGUGCAGCGAUAAUCGGAAGACUGGGCGUACGCACACCUGGCGGACAGCAAGCCGGAGGAUACCCUGGGCGUGCCUGGGAACUGCAUUCAAACUGGAAGGUUAGAGUCUUGUUCAGGGGUGAGAUUUCAGGUGUAGCGUGCAAUGCGA